UCUCACUUCCUACUAACCUAAUUGUAAUUCCCGCCAAAGAGGAUCCCAUCUCCACCUUCACCUUUUGCAGCUAGGGAUUAAAACCCUGGAGCCGCCCGCCGCUGAGCACUCUAGCGUCGCCCGCUGCUCUGCACCCUAGCGGCGCUGCCCACCGCUCUUCUCCAUCAGCCGCGACACGCCGCUCUGCACCCUAGCGCCGCCGCACGCUGCUCUGCUCCAUAUGUCGCCGCUCGCCGCUCUGCUCCAUCAGCCGCUGCACGCCUCCGCCAAAAUCGUAUCGUUUUCCUUCCAACCCCUCCGUUCCAGACCCGCUACAGGGUGAUUUUCCAGAAGUGAUAGAGGAGUAUUUGGAGUAUAUCAGUUAUGAAAUAUCGCCUUUAAUCGCCGUGGAAACUUUCUUGCUGGACUUGAAGUAUGAGGAAAACUCAGUUAAGGAAGUGCACUGGCUGGACGACAUGGUUGCGAAUGCCUUAAUACAUGUUGAUUUUGGCCUAAAGUACAUGCUUGCCUUAAUACAUGUUGAUAUUGAUGCGCAGGAUUUGGGAAUGACUUAGCUGUUGUUGAGUAUGUUGAGGAGAUUUACAAGUUCUAUAAGUCAGUUGAGGGCUGCUAGAAAUCCUUAUAACAGAAGCAAGAUUAUUGGAGGAUCUUCGAGUGGAUAGCCAGCAGUGGUAGCAGCUGGAUUAUGCCUUCUUGCACUUGGUGUUGAUCGGCAGCUGGAUUAAGCAGUGUAUCUCUGGAGUGGUCUCGAGGCGAGUGAAGGAUGCCCGGGUUAUUAAUAUUUCAUGGCAGACUUCCUUAGUUUUCUUUUUAUAUAUAUAUAGUUCCUUAGCUUCUUUAACAGAUCUAUUAGGGUGAUUUUGUCAUGUACAUUUGUGUUUUUGUGUUGAUAUAUGUCGGUUUUUUUUUUUUUGGUGAAAUAUGUCUUUUUAUUCUUGUUUUUGAGCCUU